AACGAACGUUGGCGGCAUGCCUAACACAUGCAAGUCGAACGAGACCUUCGGGUCUAGUGGCGCACGGGUGCGUAACGCGUGGGAACCUGCCCUUAGGUUCGGAAUAACUCCCCGAAAGGGGUGCUAAUACCGGAUAAUGUCUUCGGACCAAAGAUUUAUCGCCUUUGGAUGGGCCCGCGUUGGAUUAGCUAGUUGGUAGGGUAAAAGCCUACCAAGGCGACGAUCCAUAGCUGGUCUGAGAGGAUGAUCAGCCACACGGGGACUGAGACACGGUCCAGACUCCUACGGGAGGCAGCAGUGGGGAAUAUUGGACAAUGGGCGAAAGCCUGAUCCAGCAAUGCCGCGUGAGUGAUGAAGGCCUUAGGGUUGUAAAGCUCUUUUACCCGGGAUGAUAAUGACAGUACCGGGAGAAUAAGCUCCGGCUAACUCCGUG
rnacentral:rRNA from 1 species